AAAGUCGUAACAAGGUUUCCGUAGGUGAACCUGCGGAAGGAUCAUUAAUGAAUUACUAGGGUGCUCUAUUCCAUUGGAGGCCCGAACCCUUCAUCCUUCUACACUGUGAACUCUAUUCAAUAUCGGCGGCUUGGUGGCUCAGUCUGUCUGUCAAAGGACUUUGUAGCGAAGAGUUGUUUUCCGAUUCACCUUUAAACUUGCAAUCAGUCAAUGAAUGUAAAACAUACAAAUCAUAAACAAAACUUUCAACGACGGAUCUCUUGGCUCUC
rnacentral:misc_RNA from 1 species